AAGGGAGAGUAAUAGAUAGAUAGCUGCCCUCGGGUCUGGGAUAGCGGCGGGAAACUGCCGGUAAUACCAGAUAAUGUCUCCGGACCAAAGGUUUACCACCCGAGGAGGCGUCUGUUUCCUAUCAGCUUGUUGGCGGGGUAACGGCCCACCAAGGCUACGACGGGUAUGGGGUGUGAGAGCAUGCCCCCACUCACUGGGACUGAGAUACUGCCCAGACACCUACGGGUGGCUGCAGUCGAGAAUCUUCGGCAAUGGGCGCAAGCCUGACCGAGCGAUGCCGCGUGCGGGAUGAAGGCCUUCGGGUUGUAAACCGCUGUCGUAGGGGAGCAAGGGGAAACCUUGAGCGAUCCUAGGAGGAAGGACGGGCUAAGUUCGUGCCAGCAGCCGCGGUAAUACGAACCGUCCAAACGUUAUUCGGAAUCACUGGGCUUAAAGAGUCCGUAGGCGGCUCAGAAAGUAGGGUGUGAAAUCCCACGGCCUAACCGUGGAACUGCGCUCUAAACUACUGAGCUUGAGGGAGAUAGAGGUAAGCGGAACUGAUGGUGGAGCGGUGAAAUGCGUUGA
rnacentral:rRNA from 1 species